GAGGGUGUAGCUCGGUGGUAGAGCAUGUGCCUAGCAUGUACGAGGUCCUGGGUUCCAUCCCCAGCACCUCCA
rnacentral:tRNA from 1 species